UACGGAGGGGGCUAGCGUUGUUCGGAAUUACUGGGCGUAAAGCGCACGUAGGCGGCGAUUUAAGUCAGAGGUGAAAGCCCGGGGCUCAACCCCGGAAUAGCCUUUGAGACUGGAUUGCUAGAAUCUUGGAGAGGCGAGUGGAAUUCCGAGUGUAGAGGUGAAAUUCGUAGAUAUUCGGAAGAACACCAGUGGCGAAGGCGGCUCGCUGGACAAGUAUUGACGCUGAGGUGCGAAAGCGUGGGUAGCAAACAGG
rnacentral:rRNA from 1 species